AUUGAACGCUGGCGGCAGGCCUAACACAUGCAAGUCGAGCGGCAGCGGGAAAGUAGCUUGCUACUUUUGCCGGCGAGCGGCGGACGGGUGAGUAAUGCCUGGGGAUCUGCCCAGUCGAGGGGGAUAACAGUUGGAAACGACUGCUAAUACCGCAUACGCCCUACGGGGGAAAGCAGGGGACCUUCGGGCCUUGCGCGAUUGGAUAAACCCAGGUGGGAUUAGCUAGUUGGCGAGGUAAUGGCUCACCAAGGCGACGCUCCCUAGCUGGUCUGAGAGGAUGAUCAGCCACACUGGAACUGAGACACGGUCCAGACUCCUACGGGAGGCAGCAGUGGGGAAUAUUGCACAAUGGGGGAAACCCUGAUGCAGCCAUGCCGCGUGUGUGAAGAAGGCCUUCGGGUUGUAAAGCACUUUCAGCGAGGAGGAAAGGUUGGUAGCUAAUAACUGCCAGCUGUGACGUUACUCGCAGAAGAAGCACCGGCUAACUCCGUGCCAGCAGCCGCAGUAAAAC
rnacentral:rRNA from 1 species